rnacentral:lncRNA from 1 species
UCAAGUCAACGUCGACAUCCUUGAAUACUCUAGUAAGGAAGUGGUCAUAGGGGAUUACACGAGUCGUGCUCUGGCAACAUGCGAUCAUGUACAUCAUCAUCAAAUGCCCCAAAUGGAUUCGUCUUCUAGUCAGAAUGGAGUCUAUAAGGAAUGCCUCAUAAUAAGAGACCUCAUCGCGGUUUCCAUCAUGUGGUAAAAAAAU